CCCGGGAGGCGCCCCCGCCCGGGAACCGGCCUGCCCCCUCCCUCCCGGUGCCGCCCGGUGCCGCCCCCGCCAGCCUGGCCGUCGGAGCGCCGCCGGGAGCCCUUGGCCGAGCCCACGCUCGGGCGCGUGGAGGGGCCGGCGGGAGGCCGCGGUCCAGCCCCGCGCGCACUGAAACCCGAGCCGCGGGAUCGAUAACCCGGGAGAAAUCCAUUUCUAGCUUCAGUCCUACGUGCGUGGAGUUGGCGGAAAGUCUCCCACUGGCGGGGAGAUGGGCAGUCAGGAGUCUUCAGCGGAGGCAAGCAGGUUGAAAACUAGCGUGAUGCAAUGCCAGGUCUUCUCCGCCACGUUGGGGAUAAACUGCUUGUAGGCUAAAGGGGUCAGCUUUUUGGGGUUCCGCCUCUUGCCAAAUCCCCUGCCGGGUCCGCACGCCAGCCCCGAGCACAUCAACAGCGAGGAGACCAGCAGCA